ACUUUUACUUGCUAGAGAGAGAUUUUGAAGAAACAAAGAAAGAAGUUUUAGAGUGAGAAAGAGGAAAUUUUAGAGAGAGAAAAAAGUAAAAAAAAAAAGAAAAAGUAGGAGUUUAAGGAGCUUGACCAAUGAGUACUAAAGGUCAUUCUUUUUCCUUCUUAAAGACCUUUUUGACUUUAGUUUCGAUAAAAGAUUCUUUAGUAUUUCUUUUUACAUUUUUAAGUACAUUUUUUAGAUAAAUUAUAUUGGGAUAUUGCUUGGCUUGAUGCACUAAUUACUAUAUUUGUUGACAUUUAUUUUAUUUAAAUAUGAAAUGUGAGCUGAUAUGCAUGAGGAUUACAGAAAUAAGGUUCUGAAAUGCAUGUGGGAUUUGCUUAUUUACCUUACCUUUGGUAAUGGUAAAGAGGGUUAUUUUAGGAGUCCUGCCUUUGAGGAAUAUCUCGAUGGUUAAGUCCGGGUACUAUGGAUCAUGUGCUAGAUAUAUUAAUGGACCCUCACCGAGUUUCAGAUAUAUGAUCAUAAAUGUAGCCCUUAGGCCAAAUAUGUUAUUGAACUCCACCAGGUUCAGAACAUAUGAUUGAUAUGAAAACUGAAUAAACAAGUAAAAAGAAUAAAAAUCUGUUUAACUAUUAUCUCUGAGGAAUUUCUGUAUUUCCCUACUCUAUGAUCUGAAAAGAUUGUUGAAUCGUUCUUUGUGAAUAAUAACUUUCCCUCUGGCGAGAGUGGAUUCGACUGCAUGUAUAGGAGUCAUAGUGGUGAUGUACUAUUGUGAUAAUUAGAUUAUAUCUGAAAUGGAUAUAGAAAUAGAAUUAGCUUUCCCUCUAAUGAAAGGGGAUUCGCGAUGGUAUAUAGGGCCAUAGUGGCGACGUACGACUAUGGUCAUUAGUUUAUACUGAUAUGAAAUAAAAAUUGAUUGUCAUUCAUAGUGGUAAUCGGGGAUUGUCUACCAUUAGUAGAUAUAUGUUUUGAAUGACUUCGUGCUGAGAUCGGUAAAAGACUUAAAUAAAACACAACCAUCAGUAGGAUAGUUUUGUAUGAUAGUUCUUCUAAUUAUUUUGAAACUAUUGAAUAUUCUGAUAUGCUUGAUUACUUAGUACACCUACUUACGAUAUUGGCUAUUUACCCUCUCUGCUUGGUUCUAUAAUCUUUUCACUAGAUUUUUCUUAAGAAAGAGAAAAGUUAAAUGAUUGAAUAUGUUCAUCAGGCGACAGCCCUCUGAGGUAAGAGGUUUAUAUGGAAAUAUUGUUCAGGUUAAUUACUUUUUAAACACUAGCUGUGUGGUUUAAAUAAUGAUUUCCUUACUGAGUUUACAUAAAACUCACCUCUAAUCCGUAUUCCUCCUCUUAGAUGAUGUGGAAGUUGAGAAAUUGUUUCGGGGAUUGCCUUUAGAAGCUUAUUUGGAGCUGUUCGCAGAUCUUUAGUGAAUCUCUAGAAUGUAAUUCGAGUGCAAUAGUUUAGUCAGCACUCUGGUAUAAUAUUUUGUAAGAAUUUUAUCCUUUCUAUUUGAUACUUAAGGUUGCCAACUUUUGCCCUAUAAUUUAAAUAUUAACCUUGGAUGUUUUUGUAAGGAAUUUCUAUCUUCAGCUUCAAUGAUAAACUUGUUAUUAACACUCGUAACUACUUGGUAGUUGACUCUUUUUUACUCUCUAAGUAUCAAGGAUGUUACAGUUGGUAUCAGAGCCCGAUUCUAGGAAAAUCCCUUACACGUAUGUCUACAGUUUAAACUUAUGACAACCUUAAGAAAAUUCUUAGAAUGAGAAAUAGCCUUUUCUUUCUAGUCAUCCAUUUGUCGUCUUCUUUUUGUUGGAUUCGAUGACUCGAGGUAGACCUUCCAUAAAAAGACUUGAGGCUUAGGAUGCUCUAACCCAGGCUGAUUUUUUCGAACUAUUUCGAGCUAUUCAGGGACUUACCGCUGCUUUAGGUCAAAACUAACACCAACCACCUGAUGCUCCUGACUUUCAUCUAGUAGACAGAUCCAUCUCCCAUAAUAUCUCUAAGUUUAGGAGACUGAAACCUCCUUCAUUCGAUGAAAGACCUGAUCCUUUUGUUGUAGAA
rnacentral:lncRNA from 1 species